CAAGCACAUCAACUUUUUUCGAAAAUUAUCCAUAUCUGUGGCCCAAGAUGGAGCAGAAGUAUAUAGUGAUCAUUUUCGGCAUUCUUAUGGCCUUGCUUCUGAUUAUAGACAUUAUUUUGAUCGUUUAUAUUGUGCUGGAUGUGAGAUUUGCUUAUGAAGUAUACUUCCACGCAAGGCGCCCGGAUCCAAUCGAGCGAGCUAAACCUGCACCCUUAUUCGCUCCUAUAUUUAGAUAUUAAGGAUGAAUCAGCAAUUAGUAUUGAUUCUAAUUGGCGUUUCGGUUAUCCUGUGUCUUGUCGCACUAAAUUUGCUGUUCAUUUACUUUAUAAUCGACAAUCCGUACAUGACCACGCUUUCGAGAAGAACAUUGGCCACGACGGCUCCCACUUGGGAUCUGCUGCCAGAAUUUACGGAGUCGAUAUCUUCGUCGCUGGAGCCUGGUGAAGAAGCGGCACCCGCUCGCCACUAAACACAUUGCAACAACAACUGCCGCCGACUAAACACAAACGAUCGAAUUCUGUGCAAUGGUGGAGACGACGACGCUCGUUACGAUUUUCCUGGUUAUAACUGUGUUCCUGCUGACCUUAAUGCUCUUGUUGAUUCCAAUGGCCCUCUUCAGAGGUCAUAAGGAUAAGGAUUCAUUCUUUGGUUAAUCGUAUUACGACACCUAGCGGCGAAAGCGAAGAACACAUAGCGGAGACUAACACCAUUCUGAUGUCU